UGGGGAAUCUUGCACAAUGGGCGAAAGCCUGAUGCAGCCAUGCCGCGUGAAUGAUGAAGGCCUUAGGGUUGUAAAAUUCUUUCGCCAGGGAUGAUAAUGACAGUACCUGGUAAAGAAGCCCCGGCUAACUUCGUGCCAGCAGCCGCGGUAAUACGAAGGGGGCUAGCGUUGUUCGGAAUUACUGGGCGUAAAGCGCACGUAGGCGGACUUUUAAGUCAGAUGUGAAAUCCCGGGGCUCAACCUCGGAACUGCAUUUGAAACUGGAAGUCUAGAGACCAGGAGAGGUUAGCGGAAUACCGAGUGUAGAGGUGAAAUUCGUAGAUAUUCGGUGGAACACCAGUGGCGAAGGCGGCUAACUGGACUGGUACUGACGCUGAGGUGCGAAAGUGUGGGGAGCAAACAGG
rnacentral:rRNA from 1 species